AGUUUAUUAUACUGCAUUUUACUGACCACAUUAAGAAGAAUCUGAUACAUAUAUAUAAAUCAGGGUGAUAGAAUCAAUAAUUAGGAAUAUCUGACCAGGACAUUCUUGUCUCUAAAUCAGAGUACUGAGGAAGCCACAGGUUUCAAAAUAUUGCUCAAUGAGUAUAAAUCAGGUAAAUAUGAAGAAUAGACUGAUUCUCUUAUAAGUCUCUCUCAGUCAUGUCAGGCAGACACUCUGCCUCCUAGAGUACCCAAAGGCCUUCUGCUAACCAGCUUAUUCCCUUUACAUCACUAUGAAUUCAACAAUGUCUUACAGAGACCAUAAUCUUUGUUUUCUGUAGAGGUAUUAAGUAACAGAAUUUAGCCUACCUUUUUAAAAUAUAGACUAGGGUUUCCAACUUUUAUUUUAAUUUGUCUAAUUUGUGAUGCACCCUGCCCUCACAGCAUUGGUUGUGAUGAACACUGGUUGAGAAGUUGGCCUGUGUAGCAGAGGUCAAGAAACCAGUGACUCUCACACUAAAUACUCUCAAGCCUGUGAGAGCAUGCCAUCCAUAUACCGCUGUGUUUCUGACAGCAUUCUCUUUUGGGAUAGGGCUCAUAUUUGAGUGAAGAUAAAAAAAAAAAACACACCACUAGACACUUAACUAAUGAGCAGAUAUGGAAGGACCAAUGGGAUUAUAAUCGAACUCCUGAGUUUUGACCAGAAUGUGUGUUUUUAGUUGUAGACUGAAUCAUCUCAGACUUAUCAUUCUGAGAAGGCUGAUAAAGAGAGGGAAGAAAAAAUUCAGGUAACUUUUAGAUGUCUACAAACAUGCUUCAGCAAUCUAAGAAGUUGAUGAUGUAUGAGAUGAGUUUCUAUAUUUUCCAAGAAAAGUUAAUUUUUGUGAUUACAGGCUUAAGACAAGUUCAAUAUGUAUGAAAUAUUAAUAAAAUUAUCUCUGAAGUAUUAGACUUGAAAAUUUCAGAUCAUGAUUUAUAAAAACAGUAUGAAAUGAGAAGAAUA
rnacentral:lncRNA from 1 species